GAGUUUGAUUCUGGCUCAGGAUGAACGCUGGCGGCGUGCCUAACACAUGCAAGUCGAGCGAGAAAUAGAAGAUGAAGUCUUCGGAAUGAAACUUUUAUGGAAAGCGGCGGACGGGUGAGUAACGCGUAGGCAACCUGCCCUCGGCAGAGGGAUAGCCUCGGGAAACCGGGAUUAAAACCUCAUAACGCACCGACAGGACAUCCUGAAGGUGCCAAAGAUUUAUUGGCCGGGGAUGGGCCUGCGUCUGAUUAGCCGGUUGGUGAGGUAACGGCUCACCAAAGCAACGAUCAGUAGCCGACCUGAGAGGGUGAACGGCCACAUUGGAACUGAGACACGGUCCAGACUCCUACGGGAGGCAGCAGUGGGGGAUAUUGCACAAUGGGGGAAACCCUGAUGCAGCAACGCCGCGUGAAGGAAGAAGGCCUUUGGGUCGUAAACUUCUGUUCUAAGGGAAGAAAAGAGACCGUACCUGAGNUCC
rnacentral:rRNA from 1 species